GAUCCUGGCUCAGAAUCAACGCUGGCGGCGCGCCUAACACAUGCAAGUCGAACGAGAAAGUGGAGCAAUCCAUGAGUACAGUGGCGUACGGGUGAGUAACACGUGGAUCAUCUGCCCUGGAGUGGGGAAUAACGCUGGGAAACCGGCGCUAAUACCGCAUAUUCCCGAGAGGGGAAAGCAGCAAUGCGCUCGAGGAGGAGUCCGCGGCCGAUUAGCUAGUUGGCAGGGUAAAAGCCUACCAAGGCUGUGAUCGGUAGCCGGCCUGAGAGGGCACACGGCCACACUGGCACUGAAACACGGGCCAGACUCCUACGGGAGGCA
rnacentral:rRNA from 1 species